CAUAAAUAUAAGCUUUGAGUCAAUAUAAUAUUAUAUAUGUACGGUUUUGGGGUAUAUCUUUGGGUGUUCAAAAUGAAAUACAUGUUCUUCCUUUUGUAGGAAAUAACUACUGCUUUUACCCUUCCUUGAGUACUUGAAAUAUUCUAUAGGGUUUAAAGUACCCUAAGAUUUUUGGGUCUACUUUUGUAUCCUAAUAUUGGCUCUGUCUCCAUCAGCUGCUGGCUCAGCCUCUUGGAGGACAACCAUGCUUGUCUCCGAUCAGUAAGCAUAGUUAUAGUGUAAGGGCUUGGACCCUUCCCUUGAGAUGGAUCCCAAGUUAGGCCAGUCACUGGGUCUUCUUUUCUUUGGUCUCUUAUCCAUGUUUGUCUCUGUAGUACAUUUAGACAGGAAUAAUUAUGGGUCAAAGUUUUUGACUGUGAAAUGGAAACCCCACCCAUACACUUGAUGCUCUGUCUUUCUACUGUAGGUAGAUUUUCUACAAAUUCCCUCUCCCCAUUGUUGGGCAUUUCAUCUAAUGUCCCGCUCUUUGAUUCCUGAGAGCCUCUCAUCUCCCCAAUCUCUGGUACACUCUAGAAAUUCCACCACCUCCUAAAUCCUGAGGUUACCUGUCCCCAUUAUUUAUGCUGGUCUUCAGUGCUUCUCACCUGACCCCUGCCAUUACCUGGUCAUGUUCUCCUUUUACCCUGUUCCUCUCCUCUCCUUCCCAGGUCCUUCCUUCCCUCAGCACCCCAUGAUUGCUUACUUCUCCCUCAAAAAUGGGAUUGAAGCAUUCUUACUUGGGCCCUUCAGCUUGUUAACCUUUGUGAGUUCUGUGGAUUUUGUCCUGGGUAUUCUGUUUAUUUUUAGGUACUCUCCAUAUAUUAGUGAGUACAUACCAUGCAUCUUUUUUUUGAGUGUGAGUUGCCUUACUACGAAUGAUAAUUUCUAGUCCCAUCCCUUUGCCUGCAAAACUAAUGAUGUCCUUGUUCUUAAUAACUGAAUAGUAUUCCAUUGUUUAAAUGAACCACAUUUUCUAUAGGAUAUUUAUGACUUUUUAUCUUCUACAGUUAAAGCCCUCCUGUUUUACCAUUGUCCACAUCUUAUCAUUUGUAACUCCUGUGUUCUGUCCACUCUGAUAACAAUUUAACCAGCUAAGUUAAUCUUCACUUCCAUAACUAUUUAUUAUGAUCUACAAGAAGAAAAUAAAGGCAAAUAGAAGGCUACACAGCUAAAUAAGGCAAAUAAUACCUGACUUCUGAAGAUGUCACUAAAAUAGUUUGCAAGGAGAAAAUACUAGUUUUGAGGCUGGCAUCAAAAAUCUAAUAAUAAGGGGAACACAAGGAUACACAGGGCCCCAAAAUAAUCUCUGAAUUUCAGUCUUCGCAUGAGCAUAUGUUCAAGUUUUGUUCAUAGCAGGGAAUAAACUCAGUGAUCCUGUAGGUAAGCAUAUCUAGUAAAAGAGGUCAUAGUAUGUGCUUUUCAUAUCAGAUAAAAGUGAAGAAUCUUUAACAUGUUGAGAAUUUCAACUCGAAUCAUACAUAUAUACAAAAUACCUUGUAUACAUGGGAAAACACACAUACACACACACGCACAGAGCGAUAGAGGCAAUAGAGUCACACAUUCAAACACGUGUAGUAAGGUAUCAGAGCUUUAAUUGACUUUUAAAAAGAAUUAUUCUACAAGUAAUAUUUUAAUCUAGACUGAGUUGUAGACUCUUUGUACCAUAUUAUAAAUCCUUUGCUAUAUUUUUCGAGAUUAAUCUUGUGUGAAAAAUAUAUUGCAUUGAUGAAAAGCUAGAUGAUUUUCCUGAAAAAAUAAUACUUAGUAACUUAACAUGUAAUCACGCUCAUAUCAUAUAUCAGUAACAAUAUGGUGUAUGAACAUUUAGAUACCAUGGAUUUAAUAGAUUAAUGAAUAUAAUGAUUUAGAAUCCAUUGGUGUAUAAACAGGUCCUUUAAUGAGGAAAGAAAUAAGGACACAGACAUAAAGCAACCGCAUUUAUAGAGGCAGAACUGAAGGAAUUAAGCACAGAGUAACUAAAGGAUUGACUAGAUGAUUAGAGGACAAAGCAACUAUGUGGACCUGUCACUGUAAUCAUAUAGGUUCUGUUUGCAGUCAGUGCUGUCUGAUGGGCAGUACAUGGCCAGGAACCAUGUUAACAGGGAAAGGUUGAAAUCCAUGAGGUUUCACUCUGUAGACCACUACUAUCUACAGAGCUAGUUUGGAUCAUCCUUGUUUGGAUGAUGUCAAAUCACUGGAUACAUUCCGCACACGUUAUUCCUAGCAUUAAUGAAUACUCUAUGUUCUAGGGACCACAGAACAGUGGUGCUGUAAAUAAUAGUGAUCAAGCUGGCAGGUAAAAUAUAUUUCCUUUGUAUAGAAUGAUGUCCUUAUAACUGGGAAUACAUGCAGGAAUACAUUGCUAUUUUAAUGGCCUUAAAGUCCAAACUGAAUUUUAAUAAUUUCAGAAGUCCUUCCCUGUAUUUUAGUUCAAAUUCAACAGACAAUUUUCAGAACUAUAUUUCCAUGAUUGUCAAUAUCCACAGUAGGUUACUUAUGUGACCUUUAUGCAUUAGUGUGACAUGUGCACACUUUGCUUUUACAUUUCCAGUCAUAGCUGUAGCUCAAUCUUUCAUCAUUAAUUUACUUGUAAUUCUGAGAUAUUAUAGGGACCGUUCUAAGCACUUAUUGCAGCUAUUUACUCUGUGUUACUCCCAGACAGAAAUAUUUCUAUAGCUAGUUGAAAAGCAUACAAAAGGAAAUUUUGAGAGUAAGUUUUAUACAUUAAAAAAUGGCAAAAGAAAAGACCACUAACAUAGGAAGUUAGGUAGCUAUUGCUUAGCACAUAAAAAAAAACAAUUUGACCACUUAUUAUGAAUAUGAAGAUCAUAAUUGAAAGGGUGUUCUACACAGGUGUAGGAAAUGGUCUAGGCAAUAUAGAGGAAGAAGAUAAUUCUACUCUGUAAAAAGUAUGUUAAUACUCUAUAAGAAGUACAUGAUUCCAUUAACCUCUUCUCAAUUCUUAUGAGGUUUACUAAAACAUACAACCUGAAUGAGAUCUUACAUUAGAUACUUCACAACAAAGCAUGGUUAGGUAGAAUUUCAGAAAUGAACCACAAGUAGACGAGAAAAAUAAAGAGAAUAUGUCGGCAACAAGUAGGAGUGAGUAGGCUAACAUUCUCAAAAUUAUGAGAAAAUAUGACAAAUCAUGGUGCUAGUUUGAUAUCAAAAUAAACAAAAUAGAAAAAGUUUUGCACAUAACCAACAUUUCUAUGUCUACCUCCUGUCCAGAAUAUUACAUGCUUACUUAUUUAUGAAUUAUGACCUAAGCCUUAAACUAGGUUUCUUAUUGGUCUAGCCUAUAACUCAACCAACUUAUAUCUUAUUUGCCUGCCACAUGGCUGGGUACCUCUCUAUAGUUUCAUAGUCUGACUUCUGCAUCUCAGUGGCUAAUCUCCUAUAUCUCCCUCCCUUCCUCUCUCCUGUUCUCCCUUUCUCCCUCCCACCCCCCUCCCCCUUUAUGAUUUCACUCUCUCUCACUUUCUCUCUUUCUGGAUGUCACACCUUCUUCCUACUUUUGCUAUACACCAUCUAUUUUCUAAUAAAACUAUCAGAAAGUGAGAAAGUGAGUGUUUAUGAGAUCUGAUGUAGCCAUGUAUCUGUCAUUCAGCAAGAGACUUCUAUGAAAGUAUUAUUCCACUACAAGUUUAGAGAUGACAGAGGAAUAGCACAGGCACUUGUGCAUUUCCUAAUAUUUAAGUCAAGAAACAAUAGUGGAAAUGGGAGAAACAUUUAAGACAGCAUCAAGCUAGGAAGUAAGCAUAGAUGAUUCCAUACAGUAAGUAGAAGUAUUACCCUCAUGGUAUAUUAAACUUUACCAUGAUUAUUUUAAGGUUACAUUAAGAAAGACAUGAUGAGUUAGAGUAGAUAUCAAAUGUUUGUAUUGCAGAUAUUAUCUUUCCAAUAUAUUUCUUGAAUAUGUUAUGUAUAUGUAUAUAUGCAUACUAGAUAUAUGUAUAUGUAUAUCUGUGCAUGUGGAUAUGCAUACAAUGUAUGUGUAUGGGUGUAUAUACAUAAAUAUAUGUCUGUGUUUAUGUGUGUGGAUAAAUGGAAUUUAUUGGAAUUUCUUAUAAACUGCUACUAAUUCCUAUUUAUCCAAAGAAGGCUGAUUGUGAAUUGAAUGUUCAGUUUUCUAUUGGUUGUUCAGUUCCAUAAGUAUGUGUGUGUCAACUGUUCUUCUGUAUAUGAUAUAUUUCCAAAGAAUGUCUAAUGAAAGUGAAGGAAUGGUUGUCCUAGUAAGCUGUCUUAGUUAGUGUUUUCCUGCUGAGAACAGAUGCCAUGGCCAUGGGAAUUCUUGAUAGGAAAACAUUUAAUUAGGGCUACCUUACAGGUUCAGAGGUUCAGUCCAUUAUCUUCAUGGUGGGAGAUUGGCAGUGUCCAGGCACUCAUGGUUGAAGGAGGAUCUGAGAGUUCUACAUUGUCAUAUGAAUACUGCUAGCAGAAUCUGACUUCCAGGGAGCUAGGAUCAGGUCUUAAAGCCUGUGCUCACAGUGUCACACUUAUCCCAACAAGGCCACAGCUCUAAAUUGUACCACUCCCUGAGUAAAGCAUAUUCAAGCCAUGAUCAAGUGAUUCCAAGUAGGCAAAGUGCUUCCUUCUUCUGUGUUACCACAUAAGCUUCCAGCAGAAUGCAUGAUUUAGAUUAAGGGCAUCUCUUCUCAACUCUAGAUCCAGAGUAAUGGUUUGAAACUUCCUACUUCCAUAUAUGAAUUAAAAACAUAUGUCUUCCUACCUCAAGAUCCAGAUCAAAUGUCUGUAUCCAUACCUCAAUGGUUCAUAUUAGAAGUGGGUUCACACAUUUCAAACAAAGAAGUAAGUUAUUCACAUGUAUGCCCACCAUCUCUGAAUUGUAAAUUUUUCAAUAUAUAUGAUACAAAUAAUUGAAAAGUAAAUUGACACUAUGCAUAAAAUAAAAAGAAAUAAAAAUUCCACUUAUUCACUUUUGUUAAUGAAUGCCCAGAGAAUGCCUUCUAGUACAAUGUACAAAGAAAAGAAAAACAAACAAACAAUCAAAACAAAAAAUAAACAAUAAACAUACAACUGAUACCCUUUAACUUUUUUUUUUAUUACAGGCAUAGUGAAUCAUUUAAAAACUAUACAUACAGUAUUUCCAACUAAAAUUACGGGAAUUCAUUUUUCUGAGAAAUACUUGAAUAAUUUUUCUCAAACCAAAAAUGGUUAAAUUUUUUAGAGAUUUUUCCUUUGUACUUUGAGAUGAUCAUGUAUCCUGUUGGUCUUCGGUCUUUGGCGGCCUGCCCCUUUCUGAACAGGAAAUUGACGGUAUUGAAACUGGAGGAGAAGGGAAUUGGCAGAUGGAGCUAACAGGAGUGGAGGGAUGAGAACAUGGUUUAGAUGAAUUGUAUGAUAGAAAGACCUAUUUUCACUAAAAAAGAGACAAUAUUGUAGAUUUGUCAUACCUUGUAUUCACGUAGUUCAUUACAUGGACUCUUUAUAUAUGUUAAAAGUAAACUAAUCCUACAUAUAAAGGUCAUAUUUGCUUUACCAUAAUAUAAAAGCAUUCUAUGUAAAUAGUGUUUUUAUCUCAUAUGUACAUAUGUCUCAUAUAUAUAUGUACAUAUAUAUUACUUCACAUGUGCAUGUAUUGCACCAUUUUCAAAUAAAUAUUUUCCUCAGAUUUUUUCCUUUUUCAGCCUGGCUGACUCCCUGACAAUACUUCCACUUUCCUGCAAAGUCCCUUUCUCCCACUCUCUGUCCGUAUAUUGUCCCAGAAAAAUAAAAAAGUAAAAAGAAAGAAGAAGAGAGAUAAAGAAUAAGGGAAAUAAAGAAAGAGAGGAGGAAAAAUACUGUCACGACCACCACUACCACCACCAGAACAGCAACUACUCUACUUAACAAUAAAACAGUUAUUCAUGAACUCCAAAAUGAAAUAAAAUUCUAACCACUCACACAUAUAAACAAAAUAUGAAAGAAAAUGUAUGGACUUUUGUCUCUGCAAAUAUGUACUGCUUUGUAGUUUGAUUGUUGUAACCAGUGGCAUUCGGCACAUAUGAACUGUAUAUAACUUCUUCUUAGGGAUGACAAAUUUGUCUAAUUUCCCUCCUCAGUGCUGGUAUUUCUGUCUAUUUUGAAGCACUUUCUUUAGAUCUCAUGUUUGUUGCUACAGACUCUGUGAGUACCUACACUGCUAGGAUGUUAUAUUUGAUAAAUAUUUUUCAUUGGACAUAUCGACCACUUCAGGCCUUUUAAAAUCUUUCUACUUCCUUUGCAAUAUAGAUAUAUGAGGUUUGAGUGGAAAGGUUGGAUGAUCGCAUCACACUUAGGACCUAGUUUUCUACAGUCUCUCAUUUUCUACACACAACCCACCGGAACAUCUCUUUCUCUAUUUUCCAUGUAGUGCAAGCAGAAUACCUCUGAUGAGGUUCAGGUUAUGCACAUAUUUAUGGAUAAAAUAAUAUGUAAUUAGGAUUAUUUAGUUUUACUUUUUUAUCAGAAUAAUACUUUUUGAUUUUUUUUGUUUUGUUUUGUUUUUACCUAGUUAUUUUACCUAUCAGUCUCCGGCUCUUGUGUAUAUUUGCACUGUGAGGUAUGGCUUCUAUCUCAUGGAAAUGGAAGCCAGCUCCUUUCUCAAUAGCAAGUAGAGGGACUAGACCUAACAGGGAGGGAGAGAGGGGAAAGUGGAUUGGAUGUAUUGCAUUUUUAAGAAUCAAAAGUAAUAAAUUAAGUCAGACUGCAUGUCUGCCUCUCUGCUGGUAUGCCAGAGUGCAGCCAUGCGACUCAGAGAAUGUAGAACAAAGUCCAAGAUAGGGGGUCCCAGCCUGUUUCUCCACGGGAGAGAAACAGAGUGUUCAGGGAGUGGUGCUCUGAUUCUCAAAAUCCUGUGCACCCAAACACUGCUGGGGAACAAAGGAGUUCAGAACAAUGGUCAAAGUAUCUCUCCUCCCAUAGGCAGGCAGUACGGAGAUUGCUGACUCUAGGUCAGGGCCAAAUUGUGUCUGGUUCCCAGCGAGUGAAUAAAGAUGGGCUGAAAGAGAUACAGUCUUCUCAGGGAGAAUUAGGUGUGGCUGUUUCUGAGGACAGGCCUCUCCACACCCUCUCACCCCCCACUCCUCCACAGUCAUCCUUGAUGAAGGAGAUAGCCUUGCUCAUCCAAUCUGCCUUAUUUAUGGCAAGUGUGAUUGCUUAUGUCUUACUUUGUGUGAAUUGGGGAUUAAAAACAUUUUACAGGAGUGGAGGCCCAGGAAAGGAAGAUCAUUGAACAAACACUUGGGGCCUAUCUAGAUUCCUAAUUAGAAUGAAGAAUUCCAGUUUUUUAAGCUAUAUUAUCAGAUAUCAUGGUCAUCUCAUUGAUAGUCAUGGUUAUAUGUUACAGGAUAUGGAGGGCUUGGCCAGGUGCUGAUUACAAAACUUGCCAUUCUCAAUUAAAAGUUUCCCUGGGAUUUUUUUAAUCUACUUCAACCUUACCGGUUCUUUUGUCUGGUGUCAGGGUCCACUUGAUCAACAGAUUUCUCUCAUAACAAGUAAGCAAGGCAACAAUGUAUCUUGAAUACUUCUUACUAGUGGAUAUUGAAGACCUUUUAGAUUAUAUUGAUUUGUUUUCUCCUCUAGUAACAUGAAUCUUCCCUUUCAUCCAUAUUAAAUGGAGUCAGUAGCAGUGAAGCUUCAAAUCUGGUACUGGAUAUAUUUCUUCUUUUUCACGAUAAAGUGAGUAGUAUCUUAUACAAUAGAGCCUUACAAUGUGGAGAUUUAACCAUAGUUUUGACAAUGCUGGGUGAUGCUUGGUUGGCAAAUGAUGAAACCCAUUUGGUCAACAAUUCCUCAAAACAAUUAUUUGCUUUCACUGGAGAUUUCACUUCAUGUUACAUGAUAUCUGUGUAAGUACAUCUCUCCAAAUAUAGGGCGUUUCCAUUAAUUUAAAC
ensembl:lncRNA